rnacentral:snoRNA from 1 species
UGCAAUGAUGAUAGAACACUUGUUUUACUUUAUAUUUCUGGUACCUCUUAUGUUAGAGCCCUCGGGCUCGAUGAAUGAACUGGACUUCUGACC